AACAACUAAACAACAACAACAAACGUGUGCAUAGGAUUUCAGCCUAAGAGCAUUAAUUCCUUAAAAUCGUCAUGGUUCCACACAGGUAACUAUUUCAAUUCCAGGUUCAUUAUUGCCAUCUCUGAUGACAGAACAAUAAAGUUAUUUUUAUGCUUAUUUAUAGAACCAGCAAGGAAAGCAUACCACUGAUUCUGUUUCUUUGGCCCUCGUGGCAUUUGUUUGCCACUCAGUUCUAUGCAAUAUGCAUGCAGAUGACAUUCAGUUUUAAGUGUUGUUUAAGUGUUGCUCGGUCCCAGCGCCUGCCAACCUAGCAGUUCGAAAGCACCCCCGGGUGCAAGUAGAUAAAUAGGUACCGCUUACUAGCAGGAAGGUAAACAGCGUUUCCGUGUGCUGUGCUGGCUCGCCAGAUGCAGCUUGUCAUGCUGGCCACGUGACCCGGAAGUGUCUCCGGACAGCGCUGGCCCCCGGCCUCUUAAGUGAGAUGGGCGCACAACCCUAGAGUCGGACACGACUGGCCCGUACGGGCAGGGGUACCUUUACCUUUAAGUCACAGGCUGUUGAACUUCUGGAUCAAUGUCUGGAGGGGUAAUGGAUAAGAUGUGAGCUGAAUUCAGGCAAGGUCAGUCAAACUACUGAUCCAGCAAUACAAUCUAGCUUGGAUGUUGGAUGGGGUAGCACCUCCCUUUAAAAUGCAGAUUUUUAGUCCUGGGGUGCUUCUGGACCCAAUACUACCCGGGUGAUAGUGAAAGACAGAUGUGCCUUUGCCCAUCUUAGGCUGGUGCCUCCAGUUUGUCAUUCCUAGACACUAUAGAUCAGGUCACUGUAACACAUGCCUAACAUACAUCAUGUCUGGACUACUGCAGUGUGAUCUAUGUGGGACUGCCUUUCAAAAGUAUCCAGAAACUUCACUUGGUAAGAUUGUUAACUAGAGCUGCUAACUGGGAAUAUUCAACUCCUGUAUUGAAAAUUACCUGGCUGCAGCAUCUAAACCAGCUGAGGUUUCAGAACUUUGAAUUGAGUUGAGAAACAAAUCUGGAGGAAUGUGAUUUGUUUAGGAGCCCAAAUCAAAGUUCUGGUGCUAACCUUUCAAGCCUUUUAGUCUGGGGCCAGGAUAUCUGAAGGGCCUUCUUCUGUACAAACAUGCCUGCUUGCCUCUCAUUUGUCCCAUUGACCCUGAUGGUAUGCUUUCUUAGGAUCAGGGGGCAUUUUUGGAAAGCGCGUUCUCCCUCAUGGAGAGCACGUGUUGCGGUGGGGGGUGACGAGACACCUCAUUGUUGCUAGGCAAAAGGUUUGGCCAUCUUUUAAGCAGGAGCGGGCUGUUACUGGGGAAAGUUAUAUUUAGUGAUUGACAGCCCUAUUUGUUAAAUACAUUGCACACAGCAACAAACUUCCUCUUUUCUCUGCGUGCUUCGGAUCACUCGCCCUCCCUUCCCUAAUGUUAGGCUGUUUGCUUGACCUUGCUAUGCCUGUCAUGGGGUCGUCUGCUUUGGAGCAGGGGCCCAGUAGGAAUUUUGUCCCAUUUGGCUGAUUAGUGUGUACCACCUGGUUUUUUGCCUACUGCAUAGCAAAUCGUCACAACUUGUAAGGUUGCGGUUAGGCAUUGGUUUGGGAAUUGGUUUUUAUUUUAUUUUAUUUUUUAUAAGAUAUUUAUUAAAAUUUCAGAAAUAAAGAAAGAAGUUACAAUAGUAAUAAUAAGAAAAAGAAGAAAAAAGAAAAGAGAAUAAAAAAAAGAAAGAAGAGAGUACAAAAUACAAAAAAAGUAAAAACAAUUAAAAACAAAUCAAUCUUUCCAUAUCUUGUCUUUCAUUCACUUGUUUCCCUGACCUCCUCACACCUCCCCUUUUUUGUAUUCCAGUUCAGUAAGUUAAUUCAGCAAAUCCUUUCCCUCUUUGUUUUUAUCUUAAUCCUUUAUCUUAAUAUGUAAUAACUGUAUAUUCUCAUCUGUUAACAGUCCUUUUUUACAUACUCCUUAUAACAUUGCCGCUAAAAACCCCUUAGCUUCAUUCCAACAUCAUUCUAACAUUCAUUAAUUUUACAGUAUUUCUGUAAAUAGUCUUUAAAUUUCUUCCAAUCUUCUUCCACCAACUCUUCUCCCUGGUCUCGGAUUCUGCCAGUCAUUUCCGCCAGUUCCAUAUAGUCCAUCUGGUUUGGGAAUUGGUUGGUGGAGGGGUAUGGAUUUGGCUGUGCCUGCCCCUCCAAAAUGCUGCUGCUGCUGCUGCAAGGGUUUUCCGUUAAAGGAACCCAGGGGCUCACCAUACUUUUGUCUGAAACCCCCUGGCAAGGGGCUAGGGCCACGCAAGCCCCUGGGAGCAUUCUGGGGAGAGGUGAGGCCUGAUUCCCAGUCCUAUCUCUCUCCCCAGGUGACUUACCCUUUCUGACUUCGCGGGGGGUGCGAAUGUCAGAGCUGUCCCCGUGCGGGGUCAGUUAGUGCUACCAAUGCCUAAGCAACCACUCACAUUGCUGUAAUUUUAAUAAAGCUGUGGCCAAAAUUAUGCCAAAAACCUUAAACAAAAAUUAAGUGUCAUUGUGUUUUUAUUUGGGGUGUCUUGGGGACCUCGACGCGCAACUCACAAGGGCACAUAUUUUGAAGCCUAUAUUUCCACGCUUUACUUUGCAGCAUACUUUGUGAUUUUAAAUUUCUGCCAGGUUUCUCUCGCCAAAGAGUACUUGCUCCAAAUCUGUAUCUUGGCAUCCAGGGAAUUCUCUUUUUAUACCUGUAUGUUUUCCUUACCACCAGCUGUUAUUGCAAGGAAUGGGGGAGAAAGUCUAUUCAGUUGGCAUUUAAAGGUGAAUUUAUCUAACCGAUAGUUUCUGAACCAAUGCCCAAACCAAAACACAGCCAUUCAUUGAAAUUCAAACUUAUCCAAAUUCUGCAGGCAGUUCUCCAGCCUGCAAACAUGAGAAAUUGAGAGGAGCUGAAAUUGGCAGAUUCUCCCAUUCCUACCUAUCAUCUCACUCUGCCAGAGGUUUGAAUUCCUUUGUAUGAGAGAACAGUGGAAACUUAUAGUUUCUUUGUAAUCUUUGCCUUACUUACAAAUAUACAUGCAGAGAGUGGCUGGGGAAACCCAGUCAGAUGGACGGGCUAUAAAUAAUAAAAUUAUUAUUAUUAUUCUGUUGCAGGCAGAGGUUCCAUACAGAGAAAGUUGAGCAGUCUGCCAAAAGCUGCCCUCCAACCCGUUUCCAUUUAACGCCAACUAGAAGCUCUCAGUUUUCUCUCCGCUUGGUCUGCAAGGCACCCUGCAUUCAGCCACCAAAAGCUGCCUCCUUGCUUGCUUGCGACUCAAAGCAAGGCAUAGAAAUUAUCUGCAUGAGAGGAAGUCUGAGAACUAAACAUACAGAUGGAAUGUGAAAUGUAUUUUAGCAAAUCACAUCUCUUCCUCACUUAAAUCUACAGUUCUGAGCUGUGAAAGUGUCACAUUUUGGUCCAAAAAUGAGUUGCAAAACUUAUCAGAUGCCAAAAAACCAGCACGUUGAAUCUGAGGCUUCCUUUGAGAUGGAGGCUCCAGGCCAAAUGGCCCUCCUGAUAGGCCCUGGUCAUUAAGGAACAUUGGUAUGCUUUUCUCAAAAUACCAGACUCCCAAUCACAAUCCUUUUCGUUAAAGCUAUAGAGACUGAUUCAUUUGCAGU